CUUGGUCAUUUAGAGGAAGUAAAAGUCGUAACAAGGUUUCCGUAGGUGAACCUGCGGAAGGAUCAUUAGUGAUUGCCAUCUUGGCUUAAACUAUAUCCAUCUACACCUGUGAACCGUUUGAUUGAAUCUUCUGAUUCAAUUUUACAAACAUUGUGUAAUGAACGUCAUUAGAUCAUAACAAAAAAAAACUUUUAACAACGGAUCUCUUGGCUCUCGCAUCGAUGAAGAACGCAGCGAAAUGCGAUAAGUAAUGUGAAUUGCAGAAUUCAGUGAAUCAUCGAAUCUUUGAACGCAACUUGCGCUCUCUGGUAUUCCGGAGAGCAUGCCUGUUUGAGUGUCAUGAAAUCUCAACCAUUAGGGUUUCUUAAUGGCUUGGAUUUGGAGGUUGCCAUUCUAAAUGGCUCCUCUUAAAGGAGUUAGCAAGUUUUACUAUUGCUAUCUGRCGUAAUAAGUUUCGCUGGAAUGGUAUUGUGAAGCGUGCUUCUAAUCGUCUUCGGACAAUUACUUUGACUCUGGCCUCAAAUCAGGUAGGACUACCCGCUGAACUUAAGCAUAUCAAUAAGCGGAGGA
rnacentral:rRNA from 1 species